UCAACAUUAGCAGCAUGUAAAAAUAGCACUUCAGAUCCAUCUUUUGUCUCCCACAAAAUACUACCCAAGAGGCCUUUCAUUUAAUACCAGAACUCGU